rnacentral:rRNA from 1 species
UACGAGGGGCGCAAACGUUAUUCGGAAUUAUUGGGCGUAAAGGGCGCGUAGACGGCGUGAUAAGUCAGUUGUUAAAUCCUUCGGCCUAACCGGGGCUCAGCAGCAGAAACUAUCACGCUAGAGGAUGGAAGAGAGAAGUGGAAUUCUCGGAGUAGCGGUAAAAUGCGUAGAUCUCGAGAGGAACACCGAUGGCGAAGGCAGCUUCUUGGUCCAUAUCUGACGUUGAGGCGCGAAAGCGUGGGGAGCAAACAGG